rnacentral:rRNA from 1 species
GUGAGGAAUAUUGGUCAAUGGGCGAGAGCCUGAACCAGCCAAGUCGCGUGAAGGAAGAAGGAUCUAUGGUUCGUAAACUUCUUUUGCAGGGGAAUAAAGUGCGGGACGUGUCCUGUUUUGUAUGUACCCUGAGAAUAAGGAUCGGCUAACUCCGUGCCAGCAGCCGCGGUAAUACGGAGGAUCCGAGCGUUAUCCGGAUUUAUUGGGUUUAAAGGGUGCGUAGGUGGUUUGAUAAGUCAGCGGUGAAAGUUUGCAGCUUAACUGUAAAAAUGCCGUUGAAACUGUCGGACUUGAGUGUAAAUGAGGUAGGCGGAAUGCGUGGUGUAGCGGUGAAAUGCAUAGAUAUCACGCAGAACUCCGAUUGCGAAGGUAGCUUACUAAGCUACAACUGACACUGAAGCACGAAAGCGUGGGGAUCAAACAGGAUUAGAAACCCGGGUAGUCC